CGUGGCACUCCCUCUGGAGUGUGUUAUAUCCUUCCAUAUGGAUGCGAUGGCUGGGAUCGAGGAAAUUCGGCACGACCCCUCGAGGGUUCGGGGCCUUCUUUGGCUCACGUAGCGUGCUCAGGAUGCUGGCAUAAUGGCUUCAAGCGACCCGUCUUGAAACACGGACCAAGGAGUCUAACAUGCCUGCGAGUGUUUGGGUGGAAAACCCGGGCGCGAAAUGAAAGUGAAAGCUGGGACCUCUGUCGCGGGGGGCACCGGUGCCCGGACCUGAGCCUUUGGCGACGGAUCUGCGGUGGAGCAUGUAUGUUGGGACCCGAAAGAUGGUGAACUAUGCCUGAAUAGGGUGAAGCCAGAGGAAACUCUGGUGGAGGCUCGUAGCGAUUCUGACGUGCAAAUCGAUCGUCGAAUUUGGGUAUAGGGCGAAAGACUAAUCG
rnacentral:rRNA from 1 species